GCCCAGGUAGUGUAGCGGCCUAUCAUGGUGCCCUGUCACGGCACCGACACGGAUUCGAAUUCCGUCCUGGGCG
rnacentral:tRNA from 3 species